UACGUAGGGUGCAAGCGUUAAUCGGAAUUACUGGGCGUAAAGCGUGCGCAGGCGGUUAUGCAAGACCGAGGUGAAAUCCCCGGGCUCAACCUGGGAACUGCCUUUGUGACUGCAUAGCUAGAGUACGGUAGAGGGGGAUGGAAUUCCGCGUGUAGCAGUGAAAUGCGUAGAUAUGUGGAGGAAUACCGAUGGCGAAGGCAGCCUCCUGGGCCAACACUGACGCUCAUGCACGAAAGCGUGGGGAGCAAACAGG
rnacentral:rRNA from 1 species